GAUCACGUCUUGUUAUUAUUUUGGCUUCUUUCUACAAGCGGUUAGCAGCCAGACUAUUUUUGCCAGUUACAAAAAUAUAGCACCUUGGCAUAUGAAAUAUUUUAAGCUGAAAGAAUUUACUGAAGAAGGAAGAGCCUCCUGACCCUCCCCUUCCAUUUUCCUCUAAAGCGGGUCAUAAGACCUUCAUGCGAAAGAUGUCCACCCUAUACCUGCAGGAAAAGAGCAUCUUUAUCUUAGAAAAUGAAGGGACACGGUGUGGAAUCUGAACAAACAGACCUUGCUGGUAGUGAUUCUGACACCAGUGGACCUCCAGGCGCGGCUCCUCCUACCACGAGAGGACUCUUGACUUUUCUAAUAAAGAAGGUUCUGGCCAAUCAGUCCAAGAAAGGCUCUGAUUCUCUGCCAGGCUGUUGUCUCUGCCGAAAUGCUCCUCAGGGUGGAAGGUGCUGCUGCGGCAGGACAUGUCUCCUGAGUUUUCAGGUAUGUGGUCUGCGCCUAAAGCAGAAGGUGUACACUCCUCACACCCUUUCCUCUUUAUCUUUUUCUCUUUUGUUUUAUGAAGACUUAAAGUGACACACAAAGAUAUUAAAAAAAAAAAAAACAGUUAAAACGAAUGUUAAAUCAGCAAGACAUGUGACACAAAAGAAAAAAUAAAGGGCAGGCAAAUGAAACGAAAUUUAAGAGUGAGAUUAAAUCCCUAAAUUGUAGCUACAAAAUCCCAAGUACUUGUUAGAGGUAGGCAGUGGGUUUGAAUCUAAGGCUUCUAACUAGCAAUGUGGAAAGAAAUACAGUAAGUUUUUUCAAAAGGAGAAAUAAUCUGGUAUCCUAAGUUAAUCACCAUUAUUCCUUACAGGGACAACAGAGUUUUUUUCUACCCUUGGUCCUCAUAGAGAGGAGACUGUGUAGUGUAGUGAAGGAAGUUCUCAAUAGCAUUAUCAGCAAUUAACAUAGGAAUUAUUCUCAUACUGCCUUAUAGCAUGAAACCAAAGCACAACUCAGUAAAAGCGAUUCAGACCCAUGGGGGUGGAGGGUUAGAGGGGCACUUUAAAAGUGGACAAGGUGAAAUGUCCCCUAGUGAACUACUAUCAUUUGGAUUAGAUAAUAUUUAGAUGAAUGGCAAAUUUUAUAUCUUUUAUGGCAGUGAUCUUCAAACUACAGUUUGCAUCUGUUAGUGGGAAAAAUUAUUUCAGUGAGUUGCAACCAACUUUAAAAAAUAGAAUAAACAAGAGUAGUAUAAAACUGAAAAAUCAGAGUGAAAUGUACUUCCUAGUGUAGGUCUAUUUAAAUGCUUUGGAACACCUGUGUUGAGGCAAUUUUCAUAGACUAUCUUCUUUGCCCGAUUUUGGGGUAGGCAUUUCUUGGGAGUAACUUAGAUUAUAUCCCUUUGCAAGCACCUUGAGAACUGCAAUUCUGAGUUCAAUUAUCAGCUAGGGGCCAGCGAGAUGGAGUGGAGAGAGAAGUAUUGAAAUGCAUUUGGAGAAAUGGAGAUUACUGAAAAGUCCUCCACAUCGCUCUGUGAUGGUGAAUGAAGAUAGUAUGCACCAGGGGUCCAGGAGACUUUGUGGAAAUGAAAGAAAAACCUAUAUAAUUAAAUGCAUAGCUUAGCUUAGUAUGGAGCAUCUGCUAUAACCCAGUUAAAAGUUGGAAGUCAUC
rnacentral:lncRNA from 1 species